AUGGAACCUCCUCCUGAGCCCGCGGCUCCGCCUCCCCCUCCUCCUCCUCCGCCGCAUCCGCAUGACACAACACUCACGCUGACGUUGGCGCUGCCCCCUCCUGGGCUCGCGUCCGUGCUGAUCUCGCCGAAGCCGGGCGCACGAAGGCCGAGGCCCGAGGGCGGCGCCAGCCCCAGACCGCGACCGCCGUGCACAGAGUGCGGAAAGCGGUUCCCUUCAUGGAAGGCGCUCUUCGGACACAUGCGAUGCCACCCAGAGCGGCAGUGGCGCGGGAUCACGCCGCCCCCGGCGCACUUCUGCCAGGGCGUUGCAGCCGCACCAGUCGCCCCCGCCGGACAGUUCACCGUGCAGGAGCGCGAGGUCGCUUCCAGCCUCCUUAUGCUCUCCAGUGCGCGUCCGGGCGCUAGCAAGGGCAAGAAGGUCGUUAAUGCUGCUGCUAUUACUCUGGUGCCGGGGCCGGCCAACUGCGACGAACACAACUGCAGCGUAUGUGACCGUGGAUUCGCCAGCGGACAGGCUCUUGGCGGGCAUAAGCGGUGCCACUGGCAUAGGGCCUGCUCGGGGGUGGUGGUGAUCGCCGCUACUGGCAGCAGUGGGUCCCCAAUGUCGACCGAUGAGACGGCGAUUCUAGACCUCAACCUGCCGCCUCCUGGGCCACCUCCGGUGCGGAGGAGCGACCAAGGCAGCAGCCUGAAUGACAUGCUGGAUUUGAAGCUUGGGUACUACGGAUAA
rnacentral:rRNA from 1 species